rnacentral:tRNA from 1 species
GGGGUCGUAGCUCAGCCUGGUAGAGCAUCUGCCUUGCAAGCAGGGGGCCUCGGGUUCGAAUCCCGACGACUCCA